rnacentral:misc_RNA from 1 species
UCGAACCUGGCCCCCCCGGGCCAUGUCUACCUUGGAAACCCGUGGAAGCGAACCGUGCCUCGGUGCCUCGGCGUCGAAUUUAUGCUACAGUCUGUCAUUUGCGUCUGAAUCAAACAGAAGAACAUA